GUUCCGAUCAUAAAUUUAACGGUUCAACUGCUGAAUGAUACAGACAUGGACUAAAAUGAAACUCUGACAGCU